rnacentral:rRNA from 1 species
GGGGAAUAUUGCACAAUGGGCGAAAGCCUGAUGCAGCAACGCCGCGUGAGCGAAGAAGGCCUUUGGGUCGUAAAGCUCUGUCCUUGGGGAAGAUAAUGACGGUACCCAUGGAGGAAGCCCCGGCUAACUACGUGCCAGCAGCCGCGGUAAUACGUAGGGGGCGAGCGUUAUCCGGAAUUAUUGGGCGUAAAGAGUGCGUAGGUGGUUCUUUAAGCGUGAGGUGAAAGGCAAUAGCUCAACUAUUGUAAGCCUUGCGAACUGGGGGACUUGAGUGCAGGAGAGGAAAGCGGAAUUCCUAGUGUAGCGGUGAAAUGCGUAGAUAUUAGGAGGAACACCAGUGGCGAAGGCGGCUUUCUGGACUGUAACUGACACUGAGGCACGAAAGCGUGGGGAGCAAAC